rnacentral:rRNA from 1 species
CCUACGGGUGGCAGCAGUGGGGAAUAUUGCACAAUGGGGGAAACCCUGAUGCAGCGACGCCGCGUGAGUGCAGAAGUAAUUCGUUAUGUAAAGCUCUAUCAGCAGGGAAGAAAAUGACGGUACCUGAGUAAGAAGCCCCGGCUAACUACGUGCCAGCAGCCGCGGUAAUACGUAGGGGGCAAGCGUUAUCCGGCUUUACUGGGUGGAAAGGGAGCGUAGACGGCAGUGCAAGUCUGGAGUGAAAGGCGGGGGCUCAACCCCCGGACUGCUCUUGAAACUGUACGGCUGGAGUGCAGGAGAGGUAAGUGGAAUUCCUAGUGUAGCGGUGAAAUGCGUAGAUAUUAGGAGGAACACCAGUGGCGAAGGCGGCUUACUGGACUGUAACUGACGUUGAGGCUCGAAAGCGUGGGGAGCAAACAGGAUUAGAUACCCGAGUAGUC